UAUUGUUGGUGUUCUUAACUCAAGAGAAAUGUUUUCAAGUAUUUAUUCAUUAAAUUUUGAAACCCGGCGUGACGAAUUUUAGAAUGUUAAGUAUUUUCCCUAAGAUAUUAAGUUAGCUUCACGUGACCUAUUAAGAAUAGAAUUUCUUGUAGGCUUUGUGACCAGGGGGAUUAGCGCUGCUUUCCCAAGACAGGUUUUUAUGUGUAUGAUCUUCAGGCUUUGCCUAUCCAGGUUGGCUGGCUGGUGCUGACGGGACGGAGCUGAGGCUAGCGAUAAAUUCCUAUGUUAGACUUCCGCUGUAGCAAUUACUCAUAUCAGUCUUUUGUUUUCCCAACUUAAGAUCUUCAUGUUAAAUUUCAAAUGAUAUAUCUGACCGA